rnacentral:lncRNA from 1 species
GCAUUCUGAAAGAAGAACACAGACUGAAAUUUCAUCGCCAUUUGCUCUGAUUCCUAACUAAGGUGCUCCUCACACAGAAUCUCCAGGAAGCAGAGAUGGAUGGGUAGAUUUUACAAUGGAGAGAGGACCGGUCCACUCUCAAAGUUCCAUCCUGGACAUUGAAUAGCAUCUUGGGAGGAACCAAAAUGGGAUCCCACUCUGGGUAAGACAUGAUAACACCAGCAGUGAGAUUCCUGUGGAUAGGGGAGUUUUCUUGGGCAGGGGUGAAGAGAUACAGAAGAAAAGCAGGGAAGUGUGAAUGCUAGGGAUACAAAGAGAAGCCCCGGCAGGGAGCCUCACACAGAUGCUUAAUAAAUGCUUUUUGAUUUGACUGAAUGAUCAAAGUGUGGUGUUAGCGUCAAGCAGUCUUAGCACCAUCGCAUAUAAAUGCCUUUGGCAAUCCACAUGUCGGUUUAUCUGGGGGCGGGGGUCAGGCUGUCGGAAGGGAUGCUGUGCCCUUGCUUGAUGUGAGUGGGCAGCCAGGGCCAGCCGUGGGAAGGGAUUGAAUCGUGGCGUCCUGUUCUUGCAACAGCCACAUUCCUCAUCGGAAGCUUGUACUGAGUGUUUGUCCUGCAAGCAGGAGCAGUCUGGGUGCAUUUUUGAGAUUCUGUGGGAGUUGCUGCAACUCAGACCCUCGGUUUUCUGAUGUCCAAA